UAAUCCUACGGGGGGCAGCAGUAGGGAAUCUUCCACAAUGGGCGAAAGCCUGAUGGAGCAACGCCGCGUGGGUGAAGAAGGUCUUCGGAUCGUAAAACCCUGUUGUUAGAGAAGAAAGUGCGUGAGAGUAACUGUUCACGUUUCGACGAUAUCUAGCCAGAAAGCGACGGCUAACUACGUGCCAGCAGCCGCGGAAAUACGUAGGUGGCAAGCGUUAUCCGGAUUUAUUGGGCGUAAAGGGAACACAGGCGGUCUUUUAAGGCUGUUGAGAAAACC
rnacentral:rRNA from 1 species